rnacentral:lncRNA from 1 species
GAUGUAGUGUGAGGUCAUUUAUUUGUUGAUUUUUUUCUUCUUUUGAGGAAUGAACUCCAUGCAAUGAAUUUUUCUCUUAGUACUGCUUUCAUGGUGUCCCAGAGAUUUUGAUAUGUUGAGUCUGUGUUCUCAUUUACCUCUAAGAAUUUUUCAGUCUCCUUUUUUUUUUUUGAGAGAGAGAGAGAGAAGAGAAGAGAGAGAGAAUUUUAAUAUUUAUUUUUCAGUUUUUGUUGGACACAACAUCAUUGUUUGUAUGUGGUGUUGAGGAUCGAACCCGGGCUGCACACAUGCCAGGCGAGCGCGCUACCACUUGAGCCACAUCCCCAGCCCUCAGUCUCCUCCUUGAUGUCUUCUAUAACCCAUUGUUCAUUCAGUAGCAUAUUGUUCAGUCUCCGUGUGAUGCAGAAAUUUUUAUUUUUUAUUUUGUCGUUUAUUUCCAAGUUCUUUACAUUAUGAUCUGAUAAAAUGCAUGGUAGUAUCUCUACUUUUUUGUAUUUGCUAAGAGUUGCUUUGUGGCAUAGUAUAUGGUCUAUUUUAGAGAAGGAUCCAUGUGCUGCUGAGAAGAAAGUGUAUCCGCUUGAUGCCGGUUGAAAUAUUCUAUAUCUGUCAGUUAAGUCUAAGUUAUUAAUUGUGUUAUUGAGCUCUAUAGUUUCUUUAUUCAAUUUUUGUUUGGAGGAUCUAUCCAGUGGUGAGAGAGGUGUGUUAAAGUCCCCCAAGAUUAUUGUGUUGUGGUCAGUUUGACUCUUGAACUUGAGAAGAGUUUGCUUGAUGAACAUAGCUGCACCAUUGUUUGCAGCAUAUAUAUUUAUGAUUGUUAUGUCUUGUUGGUGUAUGGUUCACUUGAACAGUAUAUAAUGUCCAUCUUUAUCCCUUUUGAUUAACUUUGGCUUGAAGUCUACUUUAUUUGAUAUGAGUAUGGAAACCCCUGCUUGCUUCCGCAGUCCAUUUGAGUGGUAUGAUUUUUCCCAGCCUUUCACCUUCAGUCUGUGUAUAUCUUUUCCCAUCAAAUGAGUCUCUAGUAGGCAGCAUAUUGUUGGAUAUUUUUUAAAAUCCAAUCUGCUAGCCUGUCUUUUGAUUGGUGAGUUUAAGCCAUUAACAUUUAAGGAUACUAUUGAGAUAUGGUUUGUAUUUCCAGCCAUAUUUGUUAUUUAACUUGACUUGGUUUUCCUCUUUUAUUAGUUUUUCCUUUAGUGUACUACCUUCCUCUGCUGGUUUUCAUUGUUGUUUUUCAGUUCCUCUUCAUGAAAUAUUUUGCCAAGGAUGUUUUGUAGUGCCAGUUUUCUAGCUGUAAAUUCUUUUAACUUUUGUUUAUUGUGGAAGGUUUUUAUUUCAUCUUCAAAUCUGAAGCUUAAUUUUGCUGGAUACAAGAUUCUUGGUUGGCAUCUAUUAUCUUUCAGGGCUUGAAAUAUGUUGUUUCAGGAUCUUCUAGCUUUCAGGGUUUCUGUUGAAAAAUCUGCCAUUAUUCUAAUUAGUUUACCCUUAUAUGUAAUCUGAUUUCUUUCUCUUGGGGCUUUUAAAAUUCUCUUCUUGUUCUGUAUGUUGGGCAUUUUCAUUAUAAUGUGUCUUGGUGUGGAUCUGUUGUGAUUCUGCACGUUCAGCAUCCUGUAGGCUUCUUGGAUUUGGAUUUCUGUUUCAUUCUUCAUGUCUGGAAAGUUUUCUGGUAGUAUUUCAUUGAACAGAUUGCUCAUUCCUUUGGUUUGGACCUCUAUGCCUUCCUCUAUCCCAAUAACUCUUAAAUUUGGUCUCUUUAUGCUAUCCCAUAUUUAUUGGAUGUUCUACUAGUGGUUUCUUAUUUUUGCUGUGCUAGCUACAUUCUUUUCAAGAUG